GACGAACGCUGGCGGCGUGCUUAAUACAUGCAAGUCGAACGGAAAGGCCCUGCUUUUGUGGGGUGCUCGAUUGGCGAACGGGUGAGUAACACGUGAGUAACCUGCCCUUGACUUUGGGAUAACUUCUGGAAACUGGGGCUCAUACCGCAUAGGAUCUCCUGCUGCGUGGUGGGGGUUGGAAAGUUUCGGCGGUUGGGGAUGGUCUCGCUGCUUAUCAGCUUCAUGGUGGGGUAGUGGCUUACCAAGGCUUUGACGGGUAGCCGGCCUGAGAGGGUUGCCGGCCACAUGAGGACUGAGAUAGGGAGCAGAAUCGUACGGGACGCAGCAGUCGAGAAUAUUACGCAAUGGGCGGGAGUCAGAUGCGACGACGCCGGGUGCGGGAUGACGUGCUACGGGUUAUAAACAGAUUUGUACUGUGAUGAAGCGUGAGUGACGGUAAUGGGUCAGGAAGCACCGGCUAACUACGUG
rnacentral:rRNA from 1 species